UACGAAGGGUGCAAGCGUUAAUCGGAAUUACUGGGCGUAAAGCGCACGUAGGCGGCUUUGCAAGUUAGAGGUGAAAGCCCGGGGCUCAACUCCGGAAUUGCCUUUAAAACUGCAUCGCUAGAGUUGUGGAGAGGUAAGUGGAAUUCCGAGUGUAGAGGUGAAAUGCGCAGAUAUCAGGAGGAACACCGGUGGCGAAGGCGGUUCUCUGGGCAUUACCUGACGCUGGAGGAGCGAAAGUGUGGGGAGCGAACAGG
rnacentral:rRNA from 1 species